UACGAAGGGGGCUAGCGUUGUUCGGAAUUACUGGGCGUAAAGCGCGUGUAGGCGGGUCCUUAAGUCAGGGGUGAAAUGCCGGAGCUCAACUUCGGAACUGCCUUUGAUACUGGGGAUCUUGAGUCCGGGAGAGGUGAGUGGAACUGCGAGUGUAGAGGUGAAAUUCGUAGAUAUUCGCAAGAACACCAGUGGCGAAGGCGGCUCACUGGCCCGAUACUGACGCUGAGGUGCGAAAGCGUGGGGAGCAAACAGG
rnacentral:rRNA from 1 species